rnacentral:lncRNA from 1 species
GGCCAAGUUUUCGACCUUCAGGUUCCUCUCGUGAACCUUCUAAGAUCCAGAAGAGGGUAGGAUUUUGGUACGUGUAAGUGAGAUUAGCUUAAAUGGUUCAUGCCUUCUUCCUUUAUUCUCUUUUUCCUUUGUCCUCUAGUGAUAUAUAACCGCUAUCCUGCUACAGUGCUAUCUGUCGCUAUCAUACAAAGUCGUACGUAUGGACGUACUCCCCUCUCUCUCUCUAUCGUCAGGCGGCUAUUUAAUUCCCUCCAGUGCUCGUGCUGACAGGGUCAUGGGUGU